rnacentral:rRNA from 1 species
AAUUUUGGGCAAUGGGCGAAAGCCUGACCCAGCAACGCCGCGUGAAGGAUGAAAUCCCUCGGGAUGUAAACUUCGCAAGAACGGGAAGAAUAAGUAAGAGCUAACAUCUCUUAUGAUGACGGUACUGUUUGUAAGCUCCGGCUAACUCCGUGCCAGCAGCCGCGGUAAUACGGGGGGGGCAAGCGUUGUUCGGAAUUACUGGGCGUAAAGGGCUCGUAGGUGGCCAAUUAAGUCAGACGUGAAAUCCCCAGGCUCAACUUGGGAACUGCGUCUGAUACUGGUUGGCUUGAAUUCGGGAGAGGGAUGCAGAAUUCCAGGUGUAGCGGUGAAAUGCGUAGAUAUCUGGAGGAAUACCGGUGGCGAAGGCGGCAUCCUGGACCGAGAUUGACACUGAUGAGCGAAAGCCAGGGGAGCAAAC